CGGGUGAGUAACACGUGAGUAACCUGCCCUUGACUCUGGGAUAAGCACUGGAAACGGUGUCUAAUACCGGAUACGAACUUCAGCCGCAUGGCUAGGAGUUGGAAAGAAUUUCGGUCAAGGAUGGACUCGCGGCCUAUCAGCUAGUUGGUGAGGUAAUGGCCCACCAAGGCGACGACGGGUAGCCGGCCUGAGAGGGUGACCGGCCACACUGGGACUGAGACACGGCCCAGACUCCUACGGGAGGCAGCAGUGGGGAAUAUUGCACAAUGGGCGCAAGCCUGAUGCAGCAACGCCGCGUGAGGGACGACGGCCUUCGGGUUGUAAACCUCUUUUAGUAGGGAAGAAGCAAAGUGUUUUACAUGGAGUGACGGUACCUGCAGAAAAAGCACCGGCUAACUCUGUGCCAGCAGCCGCGGUAAUACAGAGGGUGCGAGCGUUAAUCGGAUUUACUGGGCGUAAGGCGUGCGUAG
rnacentral:rRNA from 1 species